rnacentral:rRNA from 1 species
GAUAAACGCUGGCGGCGUGCAUGAGACAUGCAAGUCGAACGGUCAAUCGGGCUUGCUCGAUUGAUAGUGGCGGACGGCUGAGUAACGCGUAGGUGACCUGCCCCGAAGUGGGGAAUAACUGCCCGAAAGGGUGGCUAAUACCGCAUGUGGAGCUGCGUUCGGUCGUAGCUCUAAAGCUUUUGCGCUUCGGGAGGGGCCUGCGUCCGAUUAGCUCGUUGGUGGGGUAACGGCUCACCAAGGCGACGAUCGGUAGGUGGUCUGAGAGGACGAUCACCCAGACUGGGACUGAGACACGGCCCAGACUCCUACGGGAGGCAGCAGUCGGGAAUUUUGGGCAAUGGGCGAAAGCCUGACCCAGCAACGCCGCGUGAGGGAUGAAGGCCUUCGGGUCGUAAACCUCUUUUCUCAGGGACGAUGAUGACGGUACCUGAGGAAGAAGCCACGGCUAACUACGUGCCAGCAGCCGCGGUAAUACGUAGGUGGCGAGCGUUGUCCGGAUU